rnacentral:rRNA from 1 species
GAUGAACGCUGGCGGCGUGCCUAAUACAUGCAAGUCGAGCGAAUGGAUUAAGAGCUUGCUCUUAUGAAGUUAGCGGCGGACGGGUGAGUAACACGUGGGUAACCUGCCCAUAAGACUGGGAUAACUCCAGGAAACCGGGGCUAAUACCGGAUAACAUUUUGAACCGCAUGGUUCGAAAUUGAAAGGCGGCUUCGGCUGUCACUUAUGGAUGGACCCGCGUCGCAGUAGCUGGUUGGUGAGGUAACGGUUCACCAAGGCAACGAUGCGUAGCCGACCUGGGAGGGUGAUCGGCCACACUGGGACUGGGACACGGCCCAGAUUCCUACGGGAGGCAGCAGUAGGGAAUCUUCCGAAAUGGACGAAAGUCUGACGGAGCAACGCCGCGUGAGUGAUGAAGGCUUUCGGGUCGUAAAACUCUGUUGUUAGGGAAGAACAAGUGCUAGUUGAAUAAGCUGGCACCUUGACGGUACCUAACCAGAAAGCCACGGCUAACUACGUGCCAGCCGCCGCGGUAA